UACGGCCACCUCACGAUGAAACAUUGGUUCCCGUACGAUCACCAAAGUUAAGCAAUGUCGGGUCUGGUCUGUAACUUUAUGGGUGACCGCUUCGGAAUACCAGGUGCUGUAA